UGCCAGCCGCCGCGGUAAUACGGAGAGGGCAAGCGUUGUUCGGAAUCACUGGGCAUAAAGCGCACGUAGGCGGAUUGGAUAGUCGGUUGUGAAAGCCCGGGGCUCAACCCCGGAAUGGCUUCCGAAACUGGCGAACUUGAGUACGGGAGAGGAAAGUGGAAUUCCGAGUGUAGGGGUGAAAUCCGUAGAUAUUCGGAGGAACACCAGUGGCGAAGGCGGCUUUCUGGACCGAUACUGACGCUGAGACGCGAAAGCGUGGGGAGCAAACAGGAUUAGAUA
rnacentral:rRNA from 1 species